UGUAACAAAUACUGUUAAGUUUGUUCAUAUUUAAUUCUAUUUCAGUCGCGUUAACUUUGAAUUCUUUUUUUCGGCUGAAUGAAAUACAUUUGCGCAUCUGACAUGAGCGUCAGUAACAGUUGUCAAAAGAAAUCGGAAAUUGUACUGGUUUCGUUGGUCAUAAAAUGUAUAUGUUAUUUCCAGAUCUCUUAUUUUACGACAUUUUGUUCGGAAUGUCCUUUUUGGUUUAAAAAAUAUGAAAUAUUAUUAUCAAUGUUGUAGUAAAGUGCAUAAAUUUACAUUUCAGACAUUUGUGUGCCAGGAAUGUGGAAAGACAUAUAAGUCCAGAAAAAAGCCUUCUGCGUGGCUUUAUUUCCAGAAAGAGGCGACAGAAAUCACGGAUCUUAUAACUGCGGCAAUCGGUCUUUCCCGGACAACAUUUCUGUGCGGAAGGAUUAAAAACUAUUCCAGACUGGCGGCCAUGACAGAUGUGGGUUGGAAAUCAUAAAGAGUGACUGAAUACUUUGAUAUGUAGCAAAGACGUUCGUUGUUGAUGACAGUGUUUCUUUAUGAUUUAUUGACAUUAUUCAUCUUCAGAAAUACAGAACUCUCAAUGCUGUAAAUUUGUUGUGAAAUUCGCCGCUGAAUCCAUGUCCAAAAGUGCUUGUUUUACUAUACAGCAAAGGAGAAAUUGUACCGGGCCGACACCAUAGAGUGAAAGUUGGUGAAUUUUUCAUUAAAUCAGUCAAAUUAAGUAUUUCACCUUAGGUAAAAUUUCACAGUUCACAGUCGG
rnacentral:lncRNA from 1 species